UGUGAAGAAGCCCGGAUACUGCCCAGAGUUCUUCCUCAGGUGCCCUUUCAUCCUCUUACCCCUGUGCCGCCGCGACGGAGGGUGCAACGGGGACAAGAAGUGUUGCUUCUACAACUGCAGGCAUCAGUGUAUGGAGCCGUGGCUCAGCUUGGAGUGAGGGAGAAACCUCUUCUUAACCAGACCUGAGAAGAUCCGUCGGACAGGCUCAGACUCGGCUCAGACUCGGAUUACUGAUCCCCAGUCCCUCCAAGCUCUCCUUACUUCCCAAGCUUCCUUCUAUCAGGAGUUAAAUGCUUAUUAACAUGCAAACAAC
rnacentral:lncRNA from 1 species